rnacentral:rRNA from 1 species
AUUGAACGCUGGCGGCAGGCUUAACACAUGCAAGUCGAGCGGCGAUGAGGUGCUUGCACCUUAUCUUAGCGGCGGACGGGUGAGUAAUGCUUAGGAAUCUGCCUAUUAGUGGGGGACAACAUUUCGAAAGGAAUGCUAAUACUGCAUACGUCCUCCGGGAGAAAGCAGGGGAUCUUCUGACCUUGCGCUAAUAGAUGAGCCUAAGUCGGAUUAGCUAGAUGGUGGGGUAAAGGCCUCCCAAGGCGACGCUCUGUAGCGGGUGAGAGAGGAUGAACCGCCACACUGGGACUGAGACACAGCCAAGACUCCUACGGGAGGCAGCGGUGGGGAAUGUUGGACAUGGUGAGGAAGCCUGAUCAAGCAAUGCCGCGUGUGGGAAGAAGGCCUGUGGGUUGUAAAGCACUUUAAGCGAGGAGGAGGCUCUUAAGGUUAAUACCCUUGAUGUGUGGACGUUACGCGCAGAAUAAGCAUCGGCUAACUCUCUGCCAGCCGCCGCGGUAAUAC